CUCCCCCAGCGCUCCCAUUGAGGAGCAUUUACUCAGUGAGUGGAAGAGGUUAUUUUGAAACAGACCGCAAUGGAGAGACCAGCGCCCAGGGAAGCGAGGGAACAGCAGGCUCCUUCCAGCAGGACAUGGAGAUGUGAACCUGGGACACAGAGGAUGCUCCGAGACCGGCAAAUAUUGAAGGACCAGGAUGUUGUUAUAUUUCCUUGGUACAAAGCCAAGUGUGACUCGCUGCUUCUAACAAUCAGCAGAUGUUCCAGGGAUGAAUGAUCUCCUAUACCCACUUCCAUCCGGCAGAAGAUACAGAAGCCUAAACACUCGCAUGAGAAGGUUCAAGGACAGCUUCUUCCUUGCCGUGAUUAGAUUGAUGAAUGGACUCUUUAGCCUCAAAUAAUGACAAUUUUGAUAAUGUUGAUCUCUCCUCAUGCACGGCCUGUCAAUGUAACCUGCAUGCCUCUGUCUUAAGACAUUUUGAUCUGUACAUUCUGACUUAACAUGAUCUGACAGUACUGCUCGUAAACAAAGGUUUUCACUGUAUUUCGCUGCAUGUGACAAUAAAUCUAUUAAUUUAAAAAAAAAUAA